rnacentral:rRNA from 1 species
AGGAUGAACGCUGGCGGCGUGCCUAAUACAUGCAAGUCGAGCGAACGGACGAGAAGCUUGCUUCUCUGAUGUUAGCGGCGGACGGGUGAGUAACACGUGGAUAACCUACCUAUAAGACUGGGAUAACUUCGGGAAACCGGAGCUAAUACCGGAUAAUAUUUUGAACCGCAUGGUUCAAAAGUGAAAGACGGUCUUGCUGUCACUUAUAGAUGGAUCCGCGCUGCAUUAGCUAGUUGGUAAGGUAACGGCUUACCAAGGCAACGAUGCAUAGCCGACCUGAGAGGGUGAUCGGCCACACUGGAACUGAGACACGGUCCAGACUCCUACGGGAGGCAGCAGUAGGGAAUCUUCCGCAAUGGGCGAAAGCCUGACGGAGCAACGCCGCGUGAGUGAUGAAGGUCUUCGGAUCGUAAAACUCUGUUAUUAGGGAAGAACAUAUGUGUAAGUAACUGUGCACAUCUUGACGGUACCUAAUCAGAAAGCCACGGCUAACUACGUGCCAGCAGCCGCGGUAAUACGUAGGUGGCAAGCGUUAUCCGGAAUUAUUGGGCGUAAAGCGCGCGUAGGCGGUUUUUUAAGUCUGAUGUGAAAGCCCACGGCUCAACCGUGGAGGGUCAUUGGAAACUGGAAAACUUGAGUGC